rnacentral:snoRNA from 1 species
ACUGCCCCUAGAAGCCGUGCUGGUGUGGUCGCCAUGUCACAUGUGUGUCAGUAGGCGGCAGAGAGAACAGGCUGUGUCUACACGCAGGGUUCUGACCUGUGAACAUCUGAAUGAUAGGUAGCAUAACAAA